ensembl:lncRNA
CAAAAAACACAUACAAACGCCACAACAACUACAUAUUCAAAAAACACAUACAAACGCCACAACAACUACAUAUUCAAAAAACACAUACAAACGCCACAACAACUACAUAUUCAAAAAACACAUACAAACGCCACAACAACUACAUAUUCAAAAAACACAUACAAACGCCACAACAACUACAUAUUCAAAAAACACAUACAAACGCCACAACAACUACAUAUUCAAAAAACACAUACAAACGCCACAACAACUACAUAUUCAAAAAACACAUACAAACGCCACAACAACUACAUAUUCAAAAAACACAUACAAACGCCACAACAACUACAUAUUCAAAAAACACAUACAAACGCCACAACAACUACAUAUUCAGAAAACAACUUCGUCGAUUUCACAUCACGUACGCUGCAAAUAUUCACAGCACGAGCAAAUAGGGAAACGAACUGCAAACUGCAAAGACACAACGGAAAUGUUUCCGGGGGGGCCAUAAUCAGUGACGGACCCGCAUCCAUCCGGUUGUCUUCGCGCUAUCUGAAUGUGCGCUUUUGUUGUUUAUGGCUACAAGAGAUUGAAAUGUUCUGUCCGUUUUGUGCUGUGCAACUGGGGGACGCUCCCAAGUUUUGCCCGUCGUGUGGUCUGAACGUGGGGUUCCUUACGGAGCGUCCAUCCACGUCAUCAAGCGUAGGCCAUGGGCCUACAGGUAACAUCCCCUUGUUGUGCUCCUAUUCCACUGUGCUGCAUUGAAUUGUCGUCCCGUGGUUUUAGCUGUCAGAAAGGCGACAAUUUAUCAACCAAUCUCAAAUCAUAGCUAUAAUGAAUCAGUGUGUGUGUGUUAGUGAAUGAGACAAGUAUCCAAGGAAGAGCAGCUCAAUUCAUGAGGUUCAGGGAAGUUAAAGAGGCUGAGAGGAGGACCUUUUCAAAGGCUAAAAAGAAACCAAACAUUACGGUCAAGAUUUCAAUUGGCAUAAUGACCAGAACAAAAUAUGGGUUAAAACCUAUAAGAGGGAAAACCUUGCCAUUAAAUGUUGAACCCCUGUGGUCAUCAAAACAAAUUUUGCCAGCUGCUAUAAAAAAACAGCGAGAUUUUAAUCAAGACACAAUGUACGAUGGAGAAUAUGUCCUGGUCUAUCCUGAUGGCUCUCAGGUACAAAAUAUACCAGGCACAGACAGACCCUUUGUCCUUGAACAUUAUAAAGAGGCCAUUGGAAAGGCUUACCAGAGGAUCGUACUGUACAUCUGCCCCCUUCAGGAUUUGAGUCAUGGAGAUGACUCAUCUUCAGAAUCCGACGAUGAAGCAUUUGCUAGGCUUCCAAUGAAAAUUUUACCAAAACAAUGUCCACCAACAAUGUCCAGGCCAUCUGAUGGGCAAGCCAACGGAGCAGGAGCAGAACCCAAAAACACCACAUCAUGUGACUUCUACAACACAUAUACCAAGAUCUAUGCCCCAGUUGUCAUUGACAGCAGUUGCUCUGAUGUUGAGGACGUAGAGAAUUUUCAGGAGGAAGACAGAGACACAGAUAUUGGACUGACGGCUGCAGACAUUCUGUCAAAUCUAGCAUUUAACAUAAACACAAAAAGCUGUAGCAGGUUUAAUAUAAACCGUUCUAAUGUCUGGGAUGGUGCUCUGAGGGGAUUCAAACGUUCCUCAUUUGACCCCACCUGUAGCCUUUUGGUCAAAUUCACUGAUGACAUCGGGCAAACAGAGGAGGCUGUGGACACAGGAGGGCCUACGCGGGAAUUUCUGACACUCUUGAUGGACGCCAUUAAAACCAGUAGAUUUUUUGAAGGCAAAGAUGAUGGCAAAUACCUGUCAUUUGAUAGCAAAGGUAAUUCGCUUUUUGUCACAUUUUGACAGUAUUAUAAAUCAAUUUGAACUAACCGUGGAACAUUGCCAUUGUUAGCUGCAGAAGGUGAUGAGUAUUUCCAUGUUGGAAGAAUGGUUGCGGUCUCCAUUGUACAUGGUGGUCCAGGGCCUCGAUGCUUUUCCCCAAGCUUCUACCAGUACCUGGUUGGUAAAGUGAAGACCAUUGAGGCCCCAAUUGAGGAUAUACCUGAUACUGAAGUCAGGAAUGUUCUCCUUGAGGUAAUUGUGUUUCUAAGCAUAUUCAAGAAAAAAUUAUUUUUUAUAUUUUGAUGAACAAUCAACAAUAUGGACACCCCAGUAGCUUGAAAAGGUAGUGUGAUACUGGAAUAAAGCCAGUGACUUCCAUGCUUUGUCA